UACGAAGGGGGCUAGCGUUGCUCGGAAUCACUGGGCGUAAAGGGCGCGUAGGCGGUCGGAUAAGUCUUGUGUGAAAUCUUCGGGCUCAACUCGAAGUCUGCACAGGAAACUAUCUGGCUUGAGUGUGGGAGAGGUGAGUGGAAUUCCUGGUGUAGCGGUGAAAUGCGUAGAUAUCAGGAGGAACACCUGUGGCGAAAGCGGCUCACUGGACCACAACUGACGCUGAGGCGCGAAAGCUAGGGGAGCAAACAGG
rnacentral:rRNA from 1 species